AGGGUACCAUGAAGUUGAGAAGUGGUCGUCAUUUGGAGCCCAACACACAGCAUAACGUCCAACAAGGUAACGUAAAUCAAACUGUUGAAAAAGAAUCUCCUGACAAAUCCCUGUAUACAGACGCCUCUUUGAUCUCAGAUUGUACCCUCCCCUCCUCCCCCUCCUCCUCUAACUCCUCCUACUCCACCGCUGCAUCUCGAUCCCCUUCUCCGCACAUCUACUUCGACCCCGCUGAUAACUACGAGAUAGGUAAUAUGGAGAGUGGAGAUGAAACUGACGAUGAAGACGACCCUGUUCUGGAGGUACCUUCCUGGGUCUCCGAUAUCGGAUCCUACCUUGAUUAUCAGUUUGUAACCAUCUCACAUACUGACAUAUUCGGUCCUUACCCAUCUCCGGAUCUGGAUUUGUUGUUUGAGACUAAGAGGCCUCAAUUUAAAAACAGGACUAGUUCAGCAGUUUGGAGCAGCGUUCCGGUUAAAUGUGGGGAUCUGCCGGCAGAUUCUAGUGGCCUUGAUUUUUCAACUCUUACCAUCGAGGAGCUAAGUGAAUAAGUUUUUUUAUUUGUUUUGAAGAUUAUUUGUUUUUAUUUUUAUGAUGUAAGGAUGAAGUCGAGUCCCUUUAUUCGAUAUUCUAUAUUGUUGGUUUAUAGAUUUUUAUGGUUUUAUGACACAUGUAUUUGUUAAAGUUAUUCAAUAUUUCUUAUGUUGUCGACCGAAAAUGAGGUUGUCCAUUCAGUGCGAUACUAUUUAAUAAAUUCCUUUAUCG